GGGCAUACACCAAUGUACCAAACCCUAUCAAACUCCGAAUACCUUAUAUGUAAUCACAGCAGUCAGGCGGCGAGUGAUAAAAUCCGUCGUCAAGAGGGAAACAACCCAGACUACCAGCUAAGGUCCCUAAAUCUUACUUAAGUGGAAAACGAUGUGAAGUUACUUAAACAACCAGGAGGUUGGCUUAGAAGCAGCCAUCCUUUAAAGAAAGCGUAAUAGCUCACUGGUCUAGUGAUUUUGCGCGGAAAAUAUAACGGGGCUAAAGUAAGUACCGAAGCUGUAGACUUGCACACAACUUAGAUUAUUUAAGUUUAGAAUAUGAGAAACUAAGUUAUGUUUAGUUAUAUUUUUACUGAUUUUUAUAGAGUAAAGAUAGAAAUAAAACUUAGUAAAAUCAGUAAAAAUAUUCUUAGACUAAAGUUAAGUAGUUUAAGUUGUGUGCAAGUGGUAGGAGAGCGUUCUAUUUGCGUCGAAGGUAUACUGGUAAGGAGUGCUGGAGCGAAUAGAAGUGAGCAUGCAGGCAUGAGUAGCGAUAAUUAAUGUGAGAAUCAUUAACGCCGUAAACCCAAGGUUUCCUACGCGAUGCUCGUCAUCGUAGGGUUAGUCGGGUCCUAAGUCGAGUCCGAAAGGGGUAGACGAUGGCAAAUUGGUUAAUAUUCCAAUACCAACAUUAGUGUGCGAUGGAAGGACGCUUAGGGCUAAGGGGGCUAGCGGAUGGAAGUGCUAGUCUAAGGUCGUAGGAGGUUAUACAGGCAAAUCCGUAUAACAAUACUCCGAGAGCUGAAAGGCUUUUUGAAGUCUUCGGAUGGAUAGAAGAACCCCUGAUGCCGUCGAGCCAAGAAAAGUUUCUAAGUUUAGCUAAUGUUGCCCGUACCGUAAACCGACACAGGUGGGUGGGAUGAGUAUUCUAAGGCGCGUGGAAGAACUCUCUUUAAGGAACUCUGCAAAAUAGCACCGUAUCUUCGGUAUAAGGUGUGGUUAGCUUCGUACUAGGAUUUACUCCGAAAGCGAAGAAACUUACAACAAAGAGUCCCUCCCGACUGUUUACCAAAAACACAGCACUCUGCUAACUCGUAAGAGGAUGUAUAGGGUGUGACGCCUGCCCGGUGCUCGAAGGUUAAUUGAUGGGGUUAGCAUUAGCGAAGCUCUUGAUCGAAGCCCGAGUAAACGGCGGCCGUAACUAUAACGGUCCUAAGGUAGCGAAAUUCCUUGUCGGUUAAAUACCGACCUGCAUGAAUGGCGUAACGAGAUGGGAGCUGUCUCAAAGAGGGAUCCAGUGAAAUUGUAGUGGAGGUGAAAAUUCCUCCUACCCGCGGCAAGACGGAAAGACCCCGUGGACCUUUACUACAGCUUGACACUGCUACUUGGAUAAGAAUGUGCAGGAUAGGUGGGAGGCUUUGAGUAUAUGACGCCAGUUGUAUAUGAGCCAUUGUUGAGAUACCACUCUUUCUUAUUUGGGUAGCUAACCAGCUUGAGUUAUCCUCAAGUGGGACAAUGUCUGGUGGGUAGUUUGACUGGGGCGGUCGCCUCCCAAAUAAUAACGGAGGCUUACAAAGGUUGGCUCAGAACGGUUGGAAAUCGUUCGUAGAGUAUAAAGGUAUAAGCCAGCUUAACUGCAAGACAUACAAGUCAAGCAGAGACGAAAGUCGGUCUUAGUGAUCCGGUGGUUCUGUGUGGAAGGGCCAUCGCUCAAAGGAUAAAAGGUACCCCGGGGAUAACAGGCUGAUCUCCCCCAAGAGCUCACAUCGACGGGGAGGUUUGGCACCUCGAUGUCGGCUCAUCGCAUCCUGGGGCUGGAGCAGGUCCCAAGGGUAUGGCUGUUCGCCAUUUAAAGCGGUACGCGAGCUGGGUUCAGAACGUCGUGAGACAGUUCGGUCCCUAUCUGCCGUGGGCGUAAGAAGAUUGAAGAGAUUUGACCCUAGUACGAGAGGACCGGGUUGAACAAACCACUGGUGUAGCUGUUGUUCUGCCAAGAGCAUCGCAGCGUAGCUAAGUUUGGAAAGGAUAAACGCUGAAAGCAUCUAAGCGUGAAGCCAACUCUAAGAUGAAUCUUCUCUAAGCUCUCUAGAAGACUACUAGUUUGAUAGGCUGGAUGUGUAAUGGAUGAAAGUCCUUUAGCUGACCAGUACUAAUAGAGCGUUUGGCUUAUCUUUAUAAAGCAU
rnacentral:rRNA from 1 species